ACGGGAGGCAGCAGUGGGGAAUAUUGCACAAUGGGGGAAACCCUGAUGCAGCGACGCCGCGUGAGUGAAGAAGUAUUUCGGUAUGUAAAGCUCUAUCAGCAGGGAAGAUAAUGACGGUACCUGACUAAGAAGCCCCGGCUAACUACGUGCCAGCAGCCGCGGUAAUACGUAGGGGGCAAGCGUUAUCCGGAUUUACUGGGUGUAAAGGGAGCGCAGACGGCCAUGCAAGUCUGAAGUGAAAUCCACGGGCCCAACCCGUGAACUGCUUUGGAAACUGUAAGGCUAGAGUGCAGGAGAGGUAAGUGGAAUUCCUAGUGUAGCGGUGAAAUGCGUAGAUAUUAGGAGGAACACCAGUGGCGAAGGCGGCUUACUGGACUGUAACUGACGUUGAGGCUCGAAAGCGUGGGGAGCAAACAGGAUUAGAUACCCUGGUA
rnacentral:rRNA from 1 species